AACCUGGCAGAACGACCCGUGAACCGUUGAAAAUCGCCACGGGCGACGGGCCUCUCGGUCGGUCGCCUGACGGCUGUUGAGAGCGGACUGUGGGCGACCCCAGUACCUCUCCGCGGCCACAGAGAACGAACCCCGGCGUGAAUUGCGCCAAGGAAUCGAAAAAACAGACGAGCGCUCCCCUCGUCCCGAAAGCGGUGCGACGGAGGGAUGCGCGRUCGUCGAUAUCGCAUGGAAACGACUCUCGGCAACGGAUAUCUCGGCUCUCGCAUCGAUGAAGAACGUAGCGAAAUGCGAUACUUGGUGUGAAUUGCAGRAUCCCGUGAACCAUCGAGUUUUUGAACGCGAGUUGCGCCCAAAGCCGUCAGGCAGAGGGCACGCCUGCCUGGGUGUCACGCAAUGUCGCCAAGUGCCCCCUCUCCCCGUCACGGGAAGAGAAAACGAGGGACGGCGGAUGUUGGCCUCCCGUGCGCUCCCCGCUCGCGGUUGGCCGAAAUAACAGCCCCCUGUCGAUGGGCAGCCACGGCACACGGUGGUUGGCAGCAAUCGAGCUCGAACCCCGUCGUGGGCGAACCUCGACGAGGGGUGCCAAAAGACCCCG
rnacentral:rRNA from 1 species